GACGAACGCUGGCGGCGUGGAUUAGGCAUGCAAGUCGAACGGUAGGAUACCUUCGGGCAUCUGAGAGUGGCGAACGGGUGAGUAACACGUAGGUGAUCUACCCUCAAGAUUGGGACAACCCAGGGAAACUUGGGCUAAUACCGGAUGAAAGCAGCAGUGAUGUUGUUUGAAAGGUGGCGUAAGCUGCCGUUUGGGGAUGAGCCUGCGCUCUAUUAGUUAGUUGGCGGGGUAAAGGCCCACCAAGGCGAUGAUAGAUAGGCGGCCUUAACGGGUGGUCGCCCACACUGGGAUUGAGAUACGGCCCAGACUCCUACGGGAGGCAGCAGUGGGGAAUCUUCCACAAUGGACGAAAGUCUGAUGGAGCAACGCCGCGUGAGUGAAGAAGGGUUUCGGCUCGUAAAGCUCUGUUGUCGGGGACGAAUGUGCAGUAUUUUGAAUAAAGUAGUGCAAUGACGGUACCUGACGAGGAAGCCACGGCUAACUACGUGCCAGCAGCCGCGGUAAG
rnacentral:rRNA from 1 species